rnacentral:rRNA from 1 species
AUUUGCGACACUGGAACUGAGACACGGUCCGGACUCCUACGGGAGGCAGCAGUGGGGAAUUUUGCGCAAUGGGGGAAACCCUGACGCAGCAACGCCGCGUGAGUGAUGAAGGCCUUCGGGUCGUAAAGCUCUGUCAGAGGGAAAGAAGUGUAUUAGGCUAAUAUCCAUGAUACUUGACGGUACCCUCAAAGGAAGCACCGGCUANUCCGUGCCAGCAGCCGCG